GUUCAGAGUACGUGAAACCGUUCAGGGGUAAACCUGAGAAACCCAAAAGAUCGAAUGGGGAGAUUCAUCGUCAGCUCAUUUUGUAUAUGUAUGAGUUAUGAUGCGGGUUACUCUUGUAGUAUUGCUUGCACAUAUUUGUACAUUUAUUUGCAAGAUGUUGUCGUCGUGCACUUCUCCCCUAGUAGGACGUCGCGACCCGUUGGGUGUCGGUCUACGACCCGAGUGGUAGCCUUUAAUGUUUAACAACAUUGAAGACCCUUGGUGCUUUCUGACCGGCUGCCCGACGGUACUCGUACGGUAUUUAGCCGCAUUUUAUGUGCGUCCAUAUCCGUCGCAAGCGAGGCUAGUUUCUGGUAGUGCGGACCUGGUGCCGUCGCUGGAGCUGGCCAGCUGUUGGCUGUUACGGUAUUCUAGGACUGGCUAAAAAUAUUACCGGUCGGCGAUGCUACUGCUUUGGGUACUUUCAAGGACCCGUCUUGAAACAUGGAACCACGAGUCUAACAUGUGCGCGAGUCAUUGGGAUUUUUUUUUAAAAUUAAAACCUAAAGGCGUAAUGAAAGUAAAGGUCGU
rnacentral:rRNA from 1 species